ensembl:lncRNA
AUGAGCUGGCCAAUCUGUUGUUGGGGUACGACCCACACCAUUCUGUUGUUGGGGUACGACCCACACCAUUCUGUUGUUGGGGUACGACAAUACCAUUCUGUUGUUGGGGUACGACCCACACCAAUCUGUUGUUGGGGUACGCCCCACACCAUUCUGUUGUUGGGGUACGACCCACACCAUUCUGUUGUGGGGGUACGACAAUACCAUUCUGUUGUUGGGGUACGCCCAAACCAUUCUGUUGUUGGGGUACGACCCACACAAUCUGUUGUUGGGGUACGCCCACACCAUUCUGUUGUUGGGGUACGACCCACACUAUUCUGUUGGGGUACGACCCACACCAUUCUGUUGUUGGGUAUACGCCCACACCAUUCUGUUGUUUGUGUACGACCCACACUAUUCUGUUGGGGUACGACCCACACCAUUCUGUUGUUGGGAAACGCCCACACCAUUCUGUUGUUGGGGUACGACCCACACUAUUCUGUUGGGGUACGACCCACACCAUUCUGGUUGGGGGUACGACCCACACCAUUCUGUUGUUGGGGUACGACCCCACCAUUCUGUUGUUGGGGACGACAAUACCAUUCUGUUGUUGGGUACGCCCACACCAUUCUGUGUUGGGGUACGACCCACACUAUUCUGUUGUUGGGGUACGCCCCACCACUAUUCUGUUGUUGGGGUACGCCCAUACCAUUCUGUUGUUGGGGUACGCCCCACACUAUUUUGUUGUUGGGGUAUGACCCACACCAUUCUGUUGUUGGGGUACGACCCACACCAUUCUGUUGUUGGGGUACGACCCACACCAUUCUGUUGUUGGGGUACGACCCACACCAUUUGUUGUUGGGGUACGACCCACACCAUUCUGUUGUGGGGUACGACCCACACCAUUCUGUUGUUGGGGUACGCCCACACCAUUCGUUGUUGGGUAGACCCACACUAUCUGUUGGGGUACGACCCACACCAUUCUGUUGUGGGGUACGCCCCACACUAUUCUUUGUUGGGGUACGCCCCACACUAUUCUGUUGUUGGGGUACGACCCACACUAUUCUGUUGUUGGGGUACGACCCACACUAUCUGUUGUUGGGGUACGACCCACACUAUUCUGUUGUUGGGGUAAAACCCCACACCAUUCCAACACAGAAAAGAUGCUUUUAACAUAUUUAUUUAAAAAAAGAUUGGAAGGACAGUAUUUAUCAGUAAUUAUAAGUAAUUAUAAGUCAUAUUUCAUAGAAAUCUGGAAACACUGGGAACUUACUUUAAUUAAGUUCCAGGCAGUUACAGGGCCUCUCGAGUGGCGUAUCGGUCUAAGGCAUCGCAGUGCGAGCUGUGCGCCUAGAGAUCCUGGUUCUAGUCCAGGUUCUGUCUCAGUGGUAGCUGUGUCAAUAGAGAUCCUGGUUCUAGUCCAGGCUCUGUCUCAGUGGUAGCUGUGUCACUAGAGAUCCUGGUUCUCGUCCAGGUUCUGUCUCAGUGCUUGCUGUGUCACUAAAGAUCCUGGUUCUAGUCCAGGCUCGCAUUCGUCCACGACCGGGAGAACAAUGAGGUGGUGCACAGCAUCGUCCGGGUUAGGGGAGGGUUUGGCCCAGCAUCGUCCGGGUUAGGGGAGGGUUUGGCCGGCAGGGAUGUUGUUGUCCCAUCGUGAACUAGCGACUCCUGUGGCGGGCCGGACACAAUGCACGCUGACACGGUCGCCAGGUGUUAACUGGCACGGUCGCCAGUGUUAACUCCACCACAUUGGUGCGGCUGGCUUCCGGGUUAAGCGGGCAUUGUGUCAAGAAGCAGUACGGCUUGGCUGGGUUGUGUUUUGGAGGACGCACGGCUCUCGACCUUUGCCUCUCCCGAGUCUGUACUGGAGUUGCAGCGAUGGGACAAGACUGUAACUACCAAUUGGAUACAACGAAAUUGUGGAGAAUUUUCUUAUUUUUUUAAACAGAAUAAAAUAAAAUCUAUAUUUUUUAAAGCCAACAAAGGGCAAAGCCCUAAUUCUCACUCAGAACUCUCCCAGCUGAAAAUGUCCACAUUGUCCACAAAAUGUCCACAUUUCCAUUGUGUUUUGAGUACCUGCCCCUCCCUCCCACAGAAGCAUCAUAGCUGUAGCCCCUCCCCCUCAUAAGCAUCAUAGCUGUAGCCCCUCCCUUCAAAAGCAUCAUAGCUGUAGCCCCUCCCCACCAGAGGCAUAAACUACUGUACUGACGUUUUCAAGUUUGAUUCAGAAGAUAGAGAUUUUUAAUUAGAGAAGAAGGGAUUCACUUUUUCAAUGAUACUAUAGUUAUCACGUUUCACAUCGGAUGUAUUAACUACAGAAAGGUAAGAUGUGUUUUUAAUGCUGGUGUCACUCUGAACACACACUGAAGUUCAACGUUCCUCCAUAGAAGCCUCCUCCUCCGUAGGUAUAAUUCUGUGGGUCUAAUUCAGAUAAUGAUACGCUACAACAAGAUGCACAGCUCUUCAAGACUAGCCUGCUCCUCCCUCUCUCGCUCUCUCUGCCCACAAAAUGUAUGUGGCUUCUUGCGCUCUACACUUGUCUGUCCAACACGCAUGUAAAUAACUAGCUUGCCCACUCCCAUAGCAAGCUGCUCUGUCCACACUGAUUGUUGCGGAAUGAAAGGAGUUCUGGUUCUAGAAUUUUGGUUCCAACCCCUGGGGUGUAUUCAUUACGAAACGGGGAGGGACUUAUCAGAAUUUGUCCAAUAGAAAACGGGGAUGGACUUAUCAGAAUUUGUCCAAUAGAAAAUCCGCCCAAAAUUGCAAAAUGUUCCCGAAUCAGCGAAUGUUUUACCCAGUUAGGAAACCUGACAACACAUGAGAGAAAACACACAGGAGAAAACCCUUUCCAAUGUUCCCAGUGUGGAAAGCGUUUUACCCAGUUAGGGAACCUGACAACACAUCAGAGGGAGCACACAGGGGAAGAUAAGACCACAUUUUCCAGGACACCUACAAUAAGAUCAUAAAGGGGGGGCUGUGUUUGACUGAGAAUUUGUUUUUUUUGUUGAUGUCGCAUGAAAUCAUGUUUGUAUGAAAUAUUACCACAAAAAAAUAGGCCUACUUGAGUUUUUUUCCUCUCGAGACGAGACAUUUUAAAACAUUUUGAUUGUGGAUUUGGAUUGAUUGAAUAGAACUAUGAACCCUUUAGAUGUUAAUGAUUUGAUUUGGAAAGUUGUAGAUUUUAUUAAAUAGAUUUGAAUGAAUGUGUAUUUCUUGUUUCUAACUUUGAAAAAAACUUGUCAAUUUAGUCGUUUUGUUUCAUUUAAUUAAUUUGUGUUGUCGUGUCUGUGACUAUCAUUAAAUGUGAAGACUUAUUUAUCAAAUCA